UACGUAGGGUGCGAGCGUUGUCCGGAAUUACUGGGCGUAAAGAGCUCGUAGGUGGUUUGUCGCGUUGUUCGUGAAAACUCACAGCUCAACUGUGGGCGUGCGGGCGAUACGGGCAGACUGGAGUACUGCAGGGGAGACUGGAAUUCCUGGUGUAGCGGUGGAAUGCGCAGAUAUCAGGAGGAACACCGGUGGCGAAGGCAGCUCGCUGGGACGGUACUGACGCUGAGGCGCGAAAGCGUGGGGAGCAAACGGG
rnacentral:rRNA from 1 species